rnacentral:rRNA from 1 species
CAGUCGCCGCGGUAACACGAAGGGGGCUAGUGUUGUUCGGAUUUACUGGGCGUAAAGGGCGCGUAGGCGGGCUGAUAAGUCGGGGGUGAAAUCCCAAGGCUCAACCUUGGAACUGCCUUUGAUACUGUUGGUCUUGAGUCCGGGAGAGGUGAGUGGAACUGCGAGUGUAGAGGUGAAAUUCGUAGAUAUUCGCAAGAACACCAGUGGCGAAGGCGGCUCACUGGCCCGGAACUGACGCUGAGGCGCGAAAGCGUGGGGAGCAAACAGGAUUAGAUACCCGAGUAGUCCCUGUCUCUUAUAC